AACGAACGCUGGCGGCGUGGAUAAGACAUGCAAGUCGAACGGAUCAAUUCUGUAGCAAUACAGGGUUGGUCAGUGGCGUAAGGGUGCGUAACACGUGGGCAACCUGCCCGAGAGUGGGGGAUAGCCCGCCGAAAGGCGGAUUAAUACCGCAUGUGGCGAGGGGUGACAUCACCUCGUAGCCAAAGCCGGGGCAACCUGGCGCUCUUGGAUGGGCCCGCGGCCUACCAGCUAGUUGGUGAGGUAACGGCUCACCAAGGCGAUGACGGGUAGCUGGUCUGAGAGGACGACCAGCCACACUGGAACUGAGACACGGUCCAGACACCUACGGGUGGCAGCAGUCGAGAAUUUUUCUCAAUGGGGGAAACCCUGAAGGAGCGACGCCGCGUGGAGGAUGAAGGUCUUCGGAUUGUAAACUCCUGUCAUUAGGGAACAAAGCCGGGCAUUAACUGUGUGCCGGUCUGAUAGUACCUGAAGAGGAAGAGACGGCUAACUCUGUGCCAGCCGCCGCCGUAA
rnacentral:rRNA from 1 species